GAAGUUUUGGUUGUAGCUGGUCCCUAAUUAACUUGGGGGCAUGUGCACACCUUUCUCUUUCAUCCCAUACACACCUGUGCACCUGUGAGACAGAUGUUUUCUAGGGGGGGAAGGAACUUUAUUGGACCUACUCUCUUUGGACUUCUGUCUACUUAAUCUAUAUAAACUCAAUUUAUUUUAAAAUGAAUGUAAUGGAUGUAACACAUCUAAUAC
rnacentral:misc_RNA from 1 species